ACGGACUCCUCGGAGUCUGCAGGAAAAGGAGGCCUCUAUUUAUAAGCUUCCGUAUCAUGAUGGGUCCGCGUACCAUUAGCUAGUUGGUGGGGUAAUGGCCUACCAAGGCGACGAUGGUUAGCUGGUCUGAGAGGAUGAUCAGCCACACUGGAACUGAGACACGGUCCAGACUCCUACGGGAGGCAGCAGUGGGGAAUUUUGCGCAAUGGGGGAAACCCUGACGCAGCAACGCCGCGUGAGUGAUGAAGGCUUUCGGGUCGUAAAGCUCUGUCAGAGGGGAAGAAAURRGWCKKGCURAUAUCCMGKYUUCUUGACGGUACCCUCAAAGGAAGCACCGGCUAACUCCGUGCCAGCAGCCGCGGUAAUACAAGGG
rnacentral:rRNA from 1 species